CUUUCUUUGCUGGCGACCGGCGCACGGGUGAGUAACACGUAUCCAACCUGCCCUUUACUCGGGGAUAGCCUUUCGAAAGAAAGACUAAUACCCGAUAGUAUAAUGAUUCCGCAUGGUUUCAUUAUUAAAGGAUUCCGGUAAAGGAUGGGGAUGCGUUCCAUUAGGUUGUUGGUGAGGUAACGGCUCACCAAGCCUUCGAUGGCUAGGGGUUCUGAGAGGAAGGUCCCCCACAUUGGAACUGAGACACGGUCCAA
rnacentral:rRNA from 1 species